ensembl:lncRNA
AUGCCUGUAUGUGUCUGCAUUCACUGGGUAGCCCCCAUUAUCUUUGUGCCGUGCCAUUUGGUGAGAGACAUGUUAGAGAUAAUUUUGUCAAUUGUGACAGAAUGGGCAUUGUCACAAUGGAUCUUUCUCCACGUUAUGGUCUCAGGUACUUGCUCUCUGGUCACAAUCCACCAGCCUCCUGUGCUUACCACUGCUCUGGGUCAUGAUGUUGUAAUGCCGUGCCAUCUUACCCAUGAUGAGAAAAUGCUGACCCCAUCAGUUUUGUAUUGGACAGACACCAACAAUGUCAGAGUGUGGAGGCCCUCUGAGAAUUAUGAGGGACGUGUUGACCUUUUGGACCAUGAUGUGCUCUCUUUAAACAAGUCAUUACUCCUCAGGAAGGUCAAGUGGACCGACGGUAGGAAGUACCUGUGCAAAGUCUCCAUCACUCUCCAGGAUAAACGUUUCAGGAUGAGUGGAAAUGGAACUUUACUGAUGGUUUAUGACACCGUGAACUUUAAACCCACCAGUCACAAUCAGUCUCUGCUCUGCUGUGAAGUAAACGUGACCCAGGGUCCUGGAUUUGUUUUGUCCAUUUUUCACAUUGGAUACAACCUCCAAACUGUUGACACUGCUCCAGGAAAUGUGUCAGCUCUGCCCUACGUCACACUUUCUCAAACAAUUUAUCUGAGGAAUAAAGGAAAAUAUGAGUGUCAGCUGCACCUGAACGAAGAGCUGGUGGCGAAAAACAUCUACUACCAUCUGCCUGGUAAUAAUCUUCUGAUCUAGUUUCCAUGCAUGCACAUACACACUUGCUGCUCUGCUGUGUUAAACACUCCUCAGAUUUUGCUAAUUAAAAAAAGAUUAAUCUUAAAAUUGUAAAGGCUCAUAUUAAACUGGUCGUAAUAAGAAAGAAAAGGGAAUGUAAACAGUACAUUCAUUCUAAAAAACAUUGCCUGAAAUGGGCAGGUACACACGGGUACUUCAGAUUUUUGUCACAUCCCUAAACAUUUGCAUAAAACCCAAAGUAUCCCAGAUAUAGCCCCUGCCAUCUGGCACUGGUGGCAUUAUUUGAAGCCAGAGUCUGUACAGUAGUGAUCAGGGUCGGCACCGCAGUCAAUAUCAGCAUAUCAAUAUCCUGUCCAUUUGCUUGGCGGACAUUGAGGUGUACUGGGGUGGAUUGAGAUGUUUUGGCUUCACUAUUGGGGAGCUGUCAUAUCGUCCAUCCUUAUAUAUGUCGAUAAGUAAGAUGGUUGGGGUUAGAAAAAGACAAUUGUCAUGGUCAGAGUCAAUCAGAGGCAGCGUAUGGUACACUGGUGGUAACACUGAAAAUAACAGCUCUGAAAAUGUCCUUGUAAAAAAAUGGAUUAAAAAAAACGUGUUAUGUUGUGGUUAGGGUUGGGCUGAAGUAGGAUACUAGUAUUUUUUUUGGUACAAUUCAGAUACUGCUAAAAACUGUAACUUUGGAGGAUACCAACUUAAUUUACUAACUUGGACAACUGAAGCUCCAUAUUCACUUCAGAUAAAGUUUGCAAUGUAUUUUUGCAUGAAACAAGCACUGUGGAUUUUGUCCCCCAUCAUCACAUGCAUUAGGAAGGGAAUGAUUACAGAGAGCAAAAACCUCCUCAGCGUUUAUGUGGGCAUGUGAGUGUUGUUUUAAACCUGACUUAGGGAAAAAAAAGUUAACCUACCCUUUAAUACUAAAGCCCAGUUCAGACCGAAGAUUCACAAAGAUACGAAACCGUUUUAGAACUUUUCUCAGCUCAACUCCUGAUGGCGUUGAGUGCAACUCGGCUUGUCAAAUCUCUGCUGGCUGGUUUUAGAAUGUAAGGCAUGUCAGGAUACUUUUUCACUCAUUUUGGUGGUUUUUUUUUUUUUUUUUUUUGGAGAAAAUAUGUAGCUGAUGGUAGCUACCGUUAGCCGUGCAGCUGCACUGCUCGGAACAGGGGCAGUGUUGGUGUUUACCCCCCAGCAGCUGCAGUUAGCAGCUAAUUUAGCAACAAGUAAAGCUAUCUCACCAUUAGGAAACUCCAUAAAUUGCUGAGAGUUGAGGCAGAGCAACCAGAGGAAAAACUGAGAAUAUUUUAUUCUUAAAAAUAGAGCAGAGUCCUGGUUGCAGCCGCUGUAAAUUACCUCGAUAAGACAGUGGCGUUAAAGUUCUUACAUAAUGUGGCUUUAAAGUGAAGACUUGUUUGGUCAAAUGUUUUCUCCUUAGUGCCUGGAGAUGGUGGAGAUGCUGAAAAAAAUGUUUCGGUAACAUGUUCAACAACUGUGUCUGGUGAGUCUCUCCUAGCAGCAAAUGUCAUGUUUUUGUUCAACCCACUCAUUUGACAAAGAUCUUGUGAUUGGUUUUCAUUUAAUUUUGCUGCUGCGGUGGCAGAAUUUCUAGUGCCUUUUUUUCCUGUUUCCAUCUUUUUAUUUUCUUUGUGAUUUGGGUGAACCAAAUUUCAAUUUGGUUUGACAGGAGAAAUAAUUACAAUAAAUCCAACACUGUAUUAAUGUGUGAUUUAAUGUUAGGAUUACACUUCAUAUCAGUAAUUUUGUGUUUGUCAGAGCCAGAUGUGGAGGUGUUUCCAGAGCCGUGGUUUCUGUAUGUGGCUCUCCUCCUGGUGCCCGUCACCAUCCUUCUGAGCCUCGUAACUGCGAUGCUGAUGUACAGAUGCUGUGUUUGUCUGCCUUGAAUGGAGGCUUAACAAUGGAGAUCCAGGCUGCUCGGGAGUAAAAAGACCCCUUACUCAUCUUCAAUAUCAAAGACAUUCAUAACCAGUCAUCUACUUUGAGGAUCGAUCUUCCCUGUCAGUUAGGGUCAUCGUCAUUAACUGGAGUAGAACUGUUUGAAAACAGAUGUUUUCCUUUUCUCUAAAUUAUUAUAUGGCAGGGUUUGAUACAUCAUCACUUUAUAGUGGAGGGUGCCUGUGACUAACAGUGUGAUUUUUAUUCCCACUGGAACAAGAAACUCACUUCCUUUUGCAAUUUCACUGCAAAAUAAAGCCUAAAAACAUCACAACAUGCAUUGCAAUUUUUUGGGGGGUCAUUUUAUGCCACAAAAAAAAAAAACCUGCCUGCGAAAUCCUGGAGGGACUGAUUUAAGGAAGACAUCAUUACAAAUCAUUUCUUAUUCCAAAUGUUUAGUGGGAUUAGUUAGGGAAUUAGAUAGGGAACAUGUAAUGAGUUACAACUUUUAUGAAGAUUCCUCCGCUCAUUCACAAUGUUUACUGUAUUUGUAUAGUAUUGCACAGAAAGGUGACAGAAUAUUACAGUGCUUACAGUAUAUAUAGGAAGUCAGAUAUGAAUACUCACUGCUUUUUGCUCUUGUUCAUUCAUUCUUACUGCUCUUUGGUUGAAUAUGUAUAGACUCAUGUUGAUACUUGUUAUGUGUUUUGAAUUUCAAGGAAGGAUUUGCUUUACAUAUUUAUAUGUAUAUCUGUAUAUUUAUAUAUAGAAAUCUAAAUAAACCUUUGUCCGCAAGUUCCGCCUUUAUCAGAAAUGUACUUUUCUUUCCUUUGUCAACAGGUUAUCAGUUCCUUCACAAUCCUUUCUGUUCCCUUAUUGGAGUAAGUAAUUGUUUUGAUACUUCCUCUCCUUCUAAAGGCGACUGAAGGCAGUUGCACAAAGGGGCAACCACUGAGAGAGGCCCCUCUUUUCUCUUUACUUAUUAAAACAUGUAUGUAAUGACUAAAUAUACAAUAAUAUGACAUUGGUUUAACUUAUGUAUGUAUGAGCAUAAACAAGAAAUUACAGAAAGUAAAUUCUGUAGCUGAAACUGAGAGACAAAACUCAAAUCACCUCUUAAUUAAUACAUAAUCACCUAUCAAUGCAUGAAACCAGCUUUUUUGUACAAGAAUCACUAGAUAAAGAUAGGUUUGUAUUUGUGGAUGAUAAAAUAACUUUAUCCCCAAUGGCUCUUACUGGGUGAGUAAUAUUCAUCCUCACUUGUGUUGUUGCUGUGAGUGUAGUUAAUCCACAUAUUUUAAAAGAUGAAAAGGGAUGUUGAUGGAAUUAGGGACAGGGAGGUCACACUCACUCACACUCACACACACACACACACACACACACACACACACACACACACACACACACACACACACACACACAGAGGAAUGGGCAUUUGUCAGGCCGAGGACAGGGACGCAAUCAGCUCAGUAAUCCUCACUACUGGCAAAUGAAAUGGCCAAAAGAUCAGCACUCACUCAGUAGACUGAUUCCCCCUCUGAGCUGAGUCAGUGCACCUGUAGUCAUGUUACAUGUGUGGGUGUGUGUGAAUGUCAGUACAUGUGGGUUGAUUGAGACAGAAAGCAAUAGUCAGUUUGAAAUCUUGUGGUUCAUUUGAUUACACAGU